CAAAGUUUUCUUAAAGUUUUCCUAUCAAGCACCUAUUUUAUAAUUUUGAUUCACAUUUCGGCCUUCAUUGUUGUUUUCCAUUUUUGCUUCCUUUGCAACCAUGGAAUAAAGUAGAAGUAAGUUCAUUUAUAGAAAAUUCAAUAUGACCGCUUCACAAGGAGAUGAAAAUAACCAACAAUGCUUAGAUGUGCAAGGAGAUGGUAGACAUCCCAAAUGAAACACGAUGUUUAAGUGGAAACAGAUUACGACUAUUUGACCUUUGUUGGCAUGUAUUAUGAUGGCCUUGUAUUUGAAGGUUCACUAUUAAGUUUAUGCUCAAUUUUAGUACAUUUUGAGUUCAUUUCAGUCGUGUUGUGUAGGCGUGCUUUGAAGGUAACCCAUUUAAGACAAUUCCUGGUCCUUUCAAGCUCUUCUAACAAUGCAUGCGCUCAAAACCUGGCGAAGAACCAACGGAACCAUUUGUAAUUGGUCCCACCAACAAGAGAAGUGAAGCUUGAGUGAUGCUCAUCUCCAAAUGCCACAUAUCUACUUUUAGGUUGGACCCUUAUGCCCUCAUAAUUUCAAGUUUUGUUAUCGUUGCCUGAUACGCUAAUAUGGCAUAUAUUUCGGCUUUCAAGUUCAAAAUAAUAUGAUUUUUCACGUUGUGGUGGAAAAGCUUGUUUUGAGUAAACUAGUCGAUUGAUGACACUUUUAAUUCUUCCUUUGAUAAGCAGCACUUGUGACCAUUCAAAUUCCCUCUAGCUUCCUUACAUUUUCUCCCCUAACAAGUCAGUGUGUCUUUUACAAUCCCACUUAUUUUCAGAA